UACGGGGGGGGCAAGCGUUGUUCGGAAUUACUGGGCGUAAAGGCGCGUAGGCGGCCUGCUAAGUCGGACGUGAAAUCCCCCGGCUCAACCGGGGAACUGCGUCCGAUACUGGUGGGCUCGAAUCCGGGAGAGGGAUGUGGAAUUCCAGGUGUAGCGGUGAAAUGCGUAGAUAUCUGGAGGAACACCGGUGGCGAAGGCGGCAUCCUGGACCGGUAUUGACGCUGAGGCGCGAAAGCCAGGGAGCAAAGCGGG
rnacentral:rRNA from 1 species